AUUGAACGCUGGCGGCAUGCUUUACACAUGCAAGUCGAACGGCCGCGCGGGCUUCGUCCUGCCGGCGAGUGGCGAACGGGUGAGUAAUGCAUCGGAACGUGCCCAGUAGUUGGGGAUAGCCCGGCGAAAGCCGGAUUAAUACCGCAUACGACCUGAUGGUGAAAGCGGGGGACCGAAAGGCCUCGCGCUAUUUGAGCGGCCGAUGUCGGAUUAGCUAGUUGGUUGGGUAAAGGCUUACCAAGGCGACGAUCCGUAGCUGGUCUGAGAGGACGACCAGCCACACUGGGACUGAGACACGGCCCAGACUCCUACGGGAGGCAGCAGUGGGGAAUUUUGGACAAUGGGGGCAAGCCUGAUCCAGCCAUGCCGCGUGCGGGAAGAAGGCCUUCGGGUUGUAAAACGCUUUUGUUCGGGAAGAAAACCUCUGGGCUAAUACCCCGGGGGGAUGACGGUACCGGAAGAAUAAGCACCGGCUAACUACGUG
rnacentral:rRNA from 1 species